rnacentral:rRNA from 1 species
UACGUAGGGGGCAAGCGUUGUCCGGAUUUAUUGGGCGUAAAAGGCUUGUAGGUGGCCACGCCAAGUCGGAUGUGAAAUCUCCCGGCUCAACUGGGAGGGGUCAUUCGAUACUGGUGGGCUCGAGGCCGGUAGGGGGAAGUGGAAUUCCCGGUGUAGUGGUGGAAUGCGUAGAUAUCGGGAGGAACACCAGUGGCGAAGGCGGCUUCCUGGACCGGUUCUGACGCUGAGGCGCGAAAGCGUGGGGAGCAAACAGG